GAUGAACGCUGGCGGCGUGCUUAACACAUGCAAGUCGAACGAUGAUGCCCAGCUUGCUGGGUGGAUUAGUGGCGAACGGGUGAGUAACACGUGAGUAACCUGCCCUUGACUCUGGGAUAAGCCUGGGAAACUGGGUCUAAUACCGGAUACGACCAUCUGGCGCAUGUCAUGGUGGUGGAAAGCUUUUGUGGUUUUGGAUGGACUCGCGGCCUAUCAGCUUGUUGGUGGGGUAAUGGCCUACCAAGGCGACGACGGGUAGCCGGCCUGGGAGGGUGACCGGCCACACUGGGCCUGCGACACGGACCAGCCUCCUACGGGAGGCAGCAGUGGGGAAUAUUGCACAAUGGGCGCAAGCCUGAUGCAGCGACGCCGCGUGCGGGAUGACGGCCUUCGGGUUGUAAACCUCUUUCAGUAGGGAAGAAGCGAAAGUGACGGUACCUGCAGAAGAAGCGCCGGCUAACUACGUG
rnacentral:rRNA from 1 species